GACGAACGCUGGCGGCGUGCUUAACACAUGCAAGUCGAACGGUAAGGCCCUUCGGGGUACACGAGUGGCGAACGGGUGAGUAACACGUGGGUGAUCUGCCCUGCACUUCGGGAUAAGCCUGGGAAACUGGGUCUAAUACCGGAUAGGACCACUGCCUGCAUGGGUGGUGGUGGAAAGCUUUUGCGGUGUGGGAUGGGCCCGCGGCCUAUCAGCUUGUUGGUGGGGUGAUGGCCUACCAAGGCGACGACGGGUAGCCGGCCUGAGAGGGUGACCGGCCACACUGGGACUGAGAUACGGCCCAGACUCCUGCGGGAGGGAGCAGUGGGGAAUAUUGCACAAUGGGCGCAAGCCUGAUGCAGCGACGCCGCGUGAGGGAUGACGGCCUUCGGGUUGUAAACCUCUUUCAGCACCGACGAAGCGCAAGUGACGGUAGGUGCAGAAGAAGGACCGGCCAACUACGUGCCAGCCGCCGCGGUAA
rnacentral:rRNA from 1 species